rnacentral:rRNA from 1 species
UACGAAGGGUGCAAGCGUUACUCGGAAUUACUGGGCGUAAAGCGUGCGUAGGUGGUUUGUUAAGUCUGAUGUGAAAGCCCUGGGCUCAACCUGGGAACGGCAUUGGAAACUGGCUUACUAGAGUGCGGUAGAGGGGUGUGGAAUUCCCGGUGUAGCAGUGAAAUGCGUAGAUAUCGGGAGGAAUACCAGUGGCGAAGGCGGCGAUCUGGACGAUGACUGACGCUGAGACGCGAAAGCGUGGGGAGCAAACAGG